rnacentral:rRNA from 1 species
CCUACGGGAGGCAGCAGUGAGGAAUAUUGGUCAAUGGCCGAGAGGCUGAACCAGCCAAGUCGCGUGAGGGAAGACGGCCCUACGGGUUGUAAACCUCUUUUGUCGGGGAGCAAAGCGAACCACGUGUGGUUCAUUGAGAGUACCCGAAGAAAAAGCAUCGGCUAACUCCGUGCCAGCAGCCGCGGUAAUACGGAGGAUGCGAGCGUUAUCCGGAUUUAUUGGGUUUAAAGGGAGCGUAGGUGGAUUGUUAAGUUAGUUGUGAAAGUUUGCGGCUCAACCGUAAAAUUGCAGUUGAAACUGGCAGUCUUGAGUACAGUAGAGGUGGGCGGAAUUCGUCGUGUAGCGGUGAAAUGCUUAGAUAUGACGAAGAACCCCGAUUGCGAAGGCAGCUUGCUGCAGCGGAACUGACGCUGAUGCUCGAAAGCGCGGGUAUCGAACAGGAUUAGAUACCCGAGUAGUC